GUUUCCUCCAACACAAGCAGGGGUAGUUCAUGCAUAGCUGGGCACAGCGCCCAGGGCGAACCACACUCCCCCACACUUGGAUGCUGCAGAGGGGACACAGACAUCAAAAGCAGCCUCGAGGAAGAAGAGCAGUUACAGAAAUACAAUGCUGCCCGAAAAGGGGUAUCUUUCUGCCUCAUCCGUCCCCGGACACCUGCCAGCCUUCCAAAGACAAGCACAGGAAUAUAAGACAGCUAACGAGUGGGAUUACAGGCUCCGGUGAGAAGACGCUUUCUGCGGGGAAGGAGAGAGAGGAGGGUCCCACCUGUGUUUGUAAAGUGACGUGCACAGGGGUGGCCACCCUUGCUGGGAGGAGCCCUGUGGUAAGU
rnacentral:lncRNA from 1 species